rnacentral:rRNA from 1 species
GUCAGCCAAAACGACGCGCGGCACCCAGCUCAGUAACACGUGGCUAAUCUGCCCUUAGGACGAGAACAACCCCGGGAAACUGGGGCUAACUCUCGAUAGGCGAAGAACACUGGAAUGUGUCUUUACUUAAAAAGCCUCACGUUAUGCUCGUGAGGUCGCCUAAGGAUGAGGCCGCGGCCGAUCAGGUUGUUGGUGAGGUAAUGGCUCACCAAGCCUUUUACCGGUGCGGGCCGUGGGAGCGGGAGCCCGGAGAUGGGUACUUAGACAAGGACCCAGGCCCUACGGGACGCAGCAGUCGCGAAACCUUUGCAAUACACGCAAGUGUGACAGGGUUAUCCCGAGUGCCAUCCGCUGAGGAAGGCUUUUACCCAGUCUAGAAAGCUGGGGGAAUAAGGAGAGGGCAAGUCUGGUGUCAGCCGCCGCGGUAAUACCAGCUCUCCGAGUGGUGUGGAUGUUUAUUGGGCCUAAAGCAUCCGUAGCUGGCUAAGUUAGUCCCUUGUUAAAUCCACCGAAUUAAUCGUUGGAUCGCGGGGGAUACUGCUUGGCUAGGGGACGAGAGAGGCAGACGGUAUUUCCGGGGUAGGGGUGAAAUCCUAUAAUCCC